AUCACCCUGGGCGAAGGGGGGUGUCAUGAAAAUCUGGAUCCUGAUUUAACUGAAAAUCAGCAGGCUCUGCCAAAGGACUUAAAGGUAUCCUUUUUAAUCGCCGCUGCUUAAGAAAAUGAAACGGAGUGAAUUGCCGGGAGUAGCUUCCUCUGCUGGCCGCAGCUGCUGAAGCACAAAUGCAGGGGAACUCCCACUCCGUCACCGAAAUCACAGCUGACAGAUGUGUUCCCUUCGGCCUCUUGGAGGAGCACUGGCUUAACAUUACAGCUGAAUUCCGGGGCCUGACUUUCCCCGCGUAUGUGUUGGCUCCUUGCAUACUUUGUGCAAUCCAUCAGGCCAAUUCGGCAGGAUACUGGCUAGAGUCGACGGCAGGAGCUGCUACAAAGCCUACAUAGGUCAGCUGCAGUUCAUUUCAGCAUGAAGAUCCAGCUAAUGUGACUGGAUCCAGUGACCGACGCUGCACUGACAUUUGCGCUUUAAACAGUGAUUGAAUCUCUUUCCCCUGGACCAAGAACACAGUGCAUCCUCCUCCAGUGUACAACAUUUACAAAAUUAUACUCCUCGC